CGGAGGGUGCAAGCGUUAUCCGGAUUCACUGGGUUUAAAGGGUGCGUAGGAGGGCAGGUAAGUCAGUGGUGAAAUCUCCAAGCUUAACUUGGAAACUGCCGUUGAUACUAUCUGUCUUGAAUAUUGUGGAGGUGAGCGGAAUAUGUCAUGUAGCGGUGAAAUGCUUAGAUAUGACAUAGAACACCAAUUGCGAAGGCAGCUCACUACACAAUCAUUGACUCUGAGGCACGAAAGCGUGGGGGAUCAAACAGGAUUAGAUACCCUGGUAGUCCACGCCCUAAACUAUGGAUACUCGACAUACGCGAUAUACAGUGUGUGUCUGAGCGAAAGCAUUAAGUAUCCCACCUGGGAAGUACGACCGCAAGGUUG
rnacentral:rRNA from 1 species